GCUGUGCGCGACGCGGGAUGCCACCGUCAACCGCAACCGGGGGAGGAGGGGGAAUAGUGUUGCGGUGGAUAAAGAGGAGGCUAUUGGGCCGGGCAUGGACACGUGCGCUGGUGCAAGGAGAAUUGUGUCUGACGGGUUUGGCCAGAACGGACUUCGAACCCUCCCUGCGAGCUUGUAACAAUAUGAUGUGACGGACGCACACAGACAUUCGAGGUUUCACACAGGGACGUUGCACGGACGCCGGCUGUGAUCGUGAUGCAUUUAUUUGGAGAAAUGGAUGAAAAUGGACAUGCACUGGAAGUAGCAAGCUGUUAUUGUCACCAUGCACGAGCCAAGCAUGCAGCACUGAGUGAAACAGGUAACCAAUAGCGCAGCUCCACUGGUUCCAAAUUUGAUGGACACAGCCAUGAGUUACCUGGCAGUAUUGUGGCAGAGGGUAUCUUGUGCCACAGAAGUACAUACGAACAGUCCAGCAGAAAUACAGCAGCAGCCCAAUCCCAGUCUAUACCUCUGCAGAGGCUCAGAGAGAUAGCAGCAAACCAGGUCCUUCCCACAACUCUCCGCAAGCUCGGGAUUCGUCGCAAACCCAGCCAGACAGCCAUGUACGAACCUAUAUUUGCCAACAUUGUAGAUUGUCGACUAGGUAUUUCCAGUGCUUUUGUGACCACGUUGUUCAGUGUGUUGGGUGUGGCUUUCUCCCUUCUUGUGAUACUUGUGGAACAACGUUUGAAACCAUCUAAAGAUACAUACAUCAUUUGAAUUUUUGUAUUUAGUUAAGCACACGAGUACAGGAUGACAUAACAUGACAGGAUGAGCCAGCCAACACAAUGUAUAGGUGAGCUACUUGAGCAGAUGGAAAGAAGCAGAUCAAAGUUCGAAGAAUAAUCUAAAAAAAAAGGCUAUUUAUGCCAUAACCCAGAGGGCCACCACAUGUGCUCCGAGGUGGUUGUCGAUUGCGUUGUAAGCAGCAUAGAGGAAUUGUUUCAGGAAAUGGGUGUGCAGAUUGACACCACUUUGGUAAAAUCAGAUCAGGUUCGGAAGUUGCAUUAUGAGGAACCCCUGAUUUUUUGUAACGUGCCUUAAGUGCAAAA